rnacentral:lncRNA from 1 species
AUAGAACAUUCACUCAGAAUUAGGUAUAUAAAAAACAAUGAUAUUAUUAAUUGUUCUUUCCAGAAAGAAGAACCAGAAUGGGAUUCUAAAAGACACACUGAACUGCUCAUUGGCAUUGACCAAGAAGAUGCAUCCAAAAUUGUACAGGGGCUGUGGACCUUUAGGAAGCGUAGCUAUCUGUAAUCGCUAUAAAAAUCUACAUUUAGUGUCUCCACAUUGGACAGGUUGUGACAUUUCAGUGUGUAAGAUGGCUAUGCUGAUUGACAGUGAUGUUUUGAUCCUAGAAAUCAAUCUGUGUUACAAAAGUUAAAAUGAGUAUAGUCUAUUGACUAUGAGUCUAUUUUAGGUUAUAGAUUGUUUUUAAAAAAAUAAUAAUAAUCUGAUCCCCACAUUGAGAAAAAGGUUUUCUUUGCCACUGUUUUUUUCUUUCAUUUUUUUAGUAUUUCCAGAUCUACAUAUUGUUUUGCCAGUAGAGCAGAAGACUCAAAUACUGAAGCAGACUUUGAAGUAGUCUGGUAAAUGUAGGAGUAAAGGAUGGAAAAGGGAUGGCAUUACCUGGAAGAGAAGUAUUUUGUAGUAAAUCAUUUUUAUAACUUUUUAUUCCAGUUAGCUCAAUGUUAUAUCUGAGCCACCACUGAAAUGAUAAAAGCCUCAAUCAUAAAUUUGCAAAAGAAGUUGAAUGUUUUCAGGGUGAAAACUAAUUCAACAUCUGUUUGUCUUGGUCUAAGACUGAAGAAGGUAACAGAACUCUGAGCAUAAAUAGCAAGAAUUCUUAGGGUCUUAAAUCAUUUUUUUGCUCCCUUUAGCAAAGGUAACUGAAAGGACUAUGGUUUUGUUUGUUUGUUUCCUUUUCAAACUAGAAAGAAGUGAAAUAAGAGUCUAAGAGUUGACGCAUCUUAUCAAAGGAUUAGUAAUUUUUAUGGGGGAUGUUUCUCAUGCCUUAAAGGUAGCUAGUGGAAAGAAUUGUGGAGGUGUUUCUGUAAGCAUCAGAAUUCUCCCACAAGGUUAUUUAAAGCCAUUUGUAUAUUUUAAAAGGGUAACAGGGUAACAGUGUUAGCCCCAGUGUCAUACAUAGCUAGACUCUCUCUGUAGCUUUAGCUGGUUGUGAUUUUUUUUUUUUAACAUCUUGCCCUAAAAUGUGCUUUAGAAGAGCUAGAGGAAUAACUGUUUUCCACCUUACAUCAGACUUUAUUUCACUUGAGGGUAAACUGAAUCUUGAAUGUUUAUAAAGUGUUUAGGAAUCUUUCAGGGUGAAAUAUGUUAUGUCAAUGUAAAAUGGAGUGAGACUCUGAAACUCUGCCUCAUAAGGUCAAAGAAAACGUUUUAGAAACUGAACAGCAACAGAAAUCUUUGGGAAUUUUUUUCUGAGCACUAGACAUCUGUGACAUGAAAUCAGAAAUGGUUCGUAAAAUUAAGUACAGAAUUUCUUUAAUGGUGUUUGGUGUUCUCAGUGGUUACUAAUUCAAUGUUAACUAUCUCAUGCAGUUCAAUGGAAACCCGUUCACUGAGCUGACCCUGCAUCACCUUAAUGUUUGUUUUUUCUAUUUGUUUUUUGUUUUUAAUUUUAGUAAGGAGUAGAGAAAAACUUAGAUUGUUAUCAGUGAGGUGCCUUAAUGGUAAGGAAAAAAAAAGUAGAUUCCACGUUUAUAAUUUCUUUUUUUUUUUUUCUUAAGGUAAUACAAACUUAUAGCCACAGCGUCAGCGAAAACAAAGUGCACAGUGUUUCUCAGAUCUUUCUUAAAAAAAACCUACUCCAUUGGUUAGUUGUUCUACUUCUUGUUAUUAGAUCUUUCUAUAAGUUUUUGCUUUCUCAGUUCAAUGGGUUUCUUCUGUAAACUUCACAUUUUUUUUUUUUUUUUUUUUUUUUUUUGUUACCAAGAAUAUUUCAAAUGUUUGCAACCAGAAAACUUGUGUGUAAAUAUUUGUGUAGACUCUUGAAAGAUCAAAUGGAACUUGCAAGGGAGGACUAACGUGACUCAAAUUUGUGUAAACCCGAAGAAAAUCUUACAGGGAUUGCUUAUUGUACUUGCAUGUAACUGAUAUCAGAGUAUCCAGAAGAAAAAUAUCAAUUUUUCUUUUGAAACUAACCAACAGCAAGAUCACAUUAUCUGGAAAACAAAAGCCAUCUUUCAAAUUAAACAGGAAAAAUCUAUAGUUACUAAUAUUUGGUAACGCUGCUUAUGUGCCACACAAGAAAGUGUAAUGUCUUUUGUGAUGCCUGUGCAAUGUAUCAAUGCAUCAAGCAACUUGGUUUUCCACAGUUCUCUGUUUGGAUUGGCUUUGUCUAGCAAUAUAUUCUUGAGGUUUGAGUACAAAAAGAAGAGUAGUAGGAUUAUUAUGUGCUUUUCAAGGUGAGUGCAUCACCCCAAAGAGUUGAUUUUGCUACUUCCAAAUGUGAAAGGGCUGAGAAGAUGCCUCCUGGCAACUAGUGGUAUUUGUAGCUUGUGUUGGAAUAAGUCCAAUUCCAAUCAAUCCUUAGUUUUCUACAGCUCUACUGAAAAACAACUCCUUACUUGGAUGCCUCUGAAAAACACUUAAAGGAUUCAGUAGUUCAUCUCUUAAACAGAAGAGACUACGCAAGAAGCCUGUUUUCAUUAAGUUUGGUAACUUCUAGCUUGAUUUAAAGUAUGUGUGUGUGUGCGCAUAUCAACCAUUUCAUAAUCUAGCCUAUACAUGUCUUGUCAGAUUUUUGUUUUUAUUUUUAUUUAUUUUUUAAUGUUAUCUCUUUUGGAGUUGUUGAAUAUUUUGCAAUAUACAUCUGCUUCUCUGGGUUUUGUUAUUCUGACAUAAUACAAAUGUUGCAAGCUGCAAGAUAUGGGAUGAGCCCUAUUUCUCCAAGUGUUUGAAUGAAAUUCAGUGAGUAUGCAAAAGUACUUUUUGAUGAUAGCUGGGACUUCCUAUCAUGUGGUAAAUAAGAAAAAAAAAAAAAAAAAUCAAAAUCCCUAACCUAAGUGAGUGGUGAUUCCAGUUCCCACUAGCGCUUUCACAGUUCAAGUAAUAUAUGUGACUUUGUUAUAAAGCUUAUUGAAGAUGAAGGAAUUGUAUUCUAUUUCUAGAACAAGGGCUUUGAAGUUGAUUUCUUAUUGCUUUUAGGAAAUUGAAGCUAUGAAUAGCUAUAAUGUGAAAAUUCAAAUACUGGAGUUUCACUCUUGUGUUGUCAUCACCUAAAGCCACAAUAAACUGUUAAUUCUCAUCUAAAUUCCCCGAAGA